rnacentral:rRNA from 1 species
GACGAACGCUGGCGGCGUGCUUAACACAUGCAAGUCGAACGGAAAGGCCCUGCUUUUGUGGGGUGCUCGAGUGGCGAACGGGUGAGUAACACGUGAGUAACCUGCCCUUGACUUUGGGAUAACUUCAGGAAACUGGGGCUAAUACCGUAUAGGAGCUCCUGCUGCAUGGUGGGGGUUGGAAAGUUUCGGCGGGUGGGGAUGGACUCGCGGCUUAUCAGCUUGUUGGUGGGGUAGUGGCUUACCAAGGCUUUGACGGGUAGCCGGCCUGAGAGGGUGACCGGCCACAUUGGGACUGAGAGACGGCCCAGACUCCUACGGGAGGCAGCAGUGGGGAAUAUUGCACAAUGGGCGGAAGCCGGAUGCAGCAACGCCGCGUGCGGGAUGACGGCCUUCGGGUUGUAAACCGCUUUCGGCUGUGACGCAGCGUGAGUGACGGUAAUGGGUAAAGAAGCACCGGCUAACUACGUG